AGUGAACGCUGGCGGUAGGCCUAACACAUGCAAGUCGAACGGCAGCACAGUAAGAGCUUGCUCUUACGGGUGGCGAGUGGCGGACGGGUGAGGAAUACAUCGGAAUCUACUUUUUCGUGGGGGAUAACGUAGGGAAACUUACGCUAAUACCGCAUACGACCUACGGGUGAAAGCAGGGGAUCUUCGGACCUUGCGCGAUUGAAUGAGCCGAUGUCGGAUUAGCUAGUUGGCGGGGUAAAGGCCCACCAAGGCGACGAUCCGUAGCUGGUCUGAGAGGAUGAUCAGCCACACUGGAACUGAGACACGGUCCAGACUCCUACGGGAGGCAGCAGUGGGGAAUAUUGGACAAUGGGCGCAAGCCUUAUCCAGCCAUACCGCGUGGGUUAAGAAGGCCUUCGGGUUGUAAAGCCCUUUUGUUGGGAAAGAAAAGCAGCAGGUUAAUACCCCGCUGUUCUGACGGUACCCAAAGAAUAAGCACCGGCUAACUUCGUG
rnacentral:rRNA from 1 species